UGGGGAAUUUUGGACAAUGGGCGAAAGCCUGAUCCAGCAAUGCCGCGUGUGUGAAGAAGGCCUUCGGGUUGUAAAGCACUUUUGUCCGGAAAGAAAUCCUUGGCUCUAAUACAGUCGGGGGAUGACGGUACCGGAAGAAUAAGCACCGGCUAACUACGUGCCAGCAGCCGCGGUAAUACGUAGGGUGCAAGCGUUAAUCGGAAUUACUGGGCGUAAAGCGUGCGCAGGCGGUUUGCUAAGACCGAUGUGAAAUCCCCGGGCUCAACCUGGGAACUGCAUUGGUGACUGGCAGGCUAGAGUAUGGCAGAGGGGGGUAGAAUUCCACGUGUAGCAGUGAAAUGCGUAGAGAUGUGGAGGAAUACCGAUGGCGAAGGCAGCCCCCUGGGCCAAUACUGACGCUCAUGCACGAAAGCGUGGGGGAGCAAACAGGAUUAGAUACCCCUGGUAGUCCACGCCCUAAACGAUGUCAACUAGUUGUUGGGGAUUCAUUCCUUAGUAACGUAGCUAACGCGUGAAGUUGACCGCCUGGGGAGUACGGUCGCAAGAUU
rnacentral:rRNA from 1 species